rnacentral:misc_RNA from 1 species
GAUGAAGAACGUAGCGAAAUGCGAUAAGUAGUGUGAAUUGCAGAAUUCAGUGAAUCAUCGAAUCUUUGAACGCACAUUGCGGCCAUAGGUAUUCCUUUGGCCAUGCCUGUUCGAGCGUCAUUUGUACCCUCAAGCUUUGCUUGGUGUUGGGCGUCUUGUCUCUAGCUUUGCUGGAGACUCGCCUUAAAGUAAUUGGCAGCCGGCCUACUGGUUUCGGAGCGCAGCACAAGUCGCACUCUCUAUCAGCAAAGGUCUAGCAUCCAUUAAGCCUUUUUUUCAACUUUUGACCUCGGAUCAGGUAGGGAUACCCGCUGAACUUAAGCAUAUCAAUAAGCGGAGGA